rnacentral:rRNA from 1 species
AACGGCGAGUGAACCGGGAUGAGCUCAAAUUUAAAAUCUGGCGUCUUUCAGGCGUCCGAGUUGUAAUCUAUAGAGGCGUUUUCCGCGCCGGACCGCGUCCAAGUCUCUUGGAAUAGAGUAUCAAAGAGGGUGACAAUCCCGUACUUGACGCGACAACCGGUGCUCUGUGAUACGUUCUCAAUGAGUCGAGUUGUUUGGGAAUGCAGCUCUAAAUGGGUGGUAAAUUCCAUCUAAGGCUAAAUAUUGGCGAGAGACCGAUAGCGAACAAGUACCGUGAGGGAAAGAUGAAAAGCACUUUGGAAAGAGAGUUAAACAGCACGUGAAAUUGUUAAAAGGGAAACGAUUGAAGUCAGUCGUGUGAAAGGUAUUCAGCCGUCUCUGGCGGUGUAUUUGCCUUUCACGGGUCAACAUCAGUUUGAUCCGGUAGAAAAAGGCGGGAGGAAGGUGGCACCCUCGGGUGUGUUAUAGCCUCCUGUCAUAUGUGCCGGACCAGACUGAGGAACGCAGCUUGCCGCAAGGCCGGGGUUCGCCCACGUACAAGCUUAGGAUGUUGACAUAAUGGCUUUAAACGACCCGUC